rnacentral:rRNA from 1 species
UACGUAGGGUCCGAGCGUUGUCCGGAUUUAUUGGGCGUAAAGAGCGUGUAGGCGGCCAUGUAGGUCCGUUGUGAAAACUCGAGGCUCAACCUCGAGACGCCGAUGGAAACCAUGUGGCUAGAGUCCGGAAGAGGAGAGUGGAAUUCCUGGUGUAGCGGUGAAAUGCGCAGAUAUCAGGAAGAACACCCGUGGCUAAGGCGGCUCUCUAGUACGGUACUGACGCUGAGACGCGAAAGCGUGGGGAGCGAACAGG